CACCUCACCCAACACAAUAUCUUUGUCCCCUCCUUCGUUUAAUAGUUUAUGAAAGUACGCUUGACAUCUUUGUUUAAUGAGGGUCUCCUCUGUUAACACCUUGUGUUCUUCAUCCUUGAUACCCUUCACUUUAACCAAGUCAAGUCUCAUGCCUUCCCCUCUCCCACAUUCACAAGCCUGUACAAAUUCUUUUCUCUAACUUUGUCUCCUAGUUCAAUAUAUAGUCUUUCAAAAGUUGUCGUCUUAGCUAAUGUUAUCACUUACUUAGUCUC
rnacentral:lncRNA from 1 species